GCGCGCUACACUGACCUGGCGAGCGAGUACUCCCUUGGCCGGGAAGGCCCGGGUAAUCUUGUUAAACUCCGUCGUGCUGGGGAUAGAGCAUUGCAAUUAUUGCUCUUCAACGAGGAAUCCCUAGUAAGCGCAAGUCAUCAGCUUGCGUUGAUUACGUCCCUGCCCUUUGUACACACCGCCCGUCGCUACUACCGAUUGAAUGGCUCAGUGAGGCGUCCGGACUGGCCCAGGGAGGUGGGCAACUACCACCCAGGGCCGGAAAGCUCUCCAAACUCGGUCAUUUAGAGGAAGUAAAAGUCGUAACAAGGUCUCCGUUGGUGAACCAGCGGAGGGAUCAUUACCGAGUUUACAACUCCCAAACCCAUGUGAACAUACCUACAAGUUGCUUCUGCGGAGCCGCCCCGGCGCCCGGAACAUCUGUUUCUCGGCCCGGAA
rnacentral:rRNA from 1 species